rnacentral:rRNA from 1 species
UGAACGCUGGCGGUAGGCCUAACACAUGCAAGUCGAACGGCAGCACAGCAGUAGCAAUACUGUGGGUGGCGAGUGGCGGACGGGUGAGGAAUACAUCGGAAUCUACCUUUUCGUGGGGGAGUAACGUAGGGAAACUUACGCUAAUACCGCAUACGACCUUAGGUGAAGUAGGGGAGUCGCAAGACCUUACGCGGAUAGAUGAGCCGAUGUCGGAUUAGCUAGUUGGCGGGGUAAAGGCCCACCAAGGCUACGAUCCGUAGCUGGUCUGAGAGGAUGAUCAGCCACACUGGAACUGAGACACGGUCCAGACUCCUACGGGAGGCAGCAGUGGGGAAUAUUGGACAAUGGGCGCAAGCCUGAUCCAGCCAUACCGCGUGGGUGAAGAAGG